GAGGGUAUAGCUCAAAGUGGUAGAGCGCAUGCUUAGCAUGCACGGAGCCCUGGGUUCAAUCCCCAGCACCCCCU
rnacentral:tRNA from 1 species